rnacentral:misc_RNA from 1 species
GUCGUAACAAGGUUUCCGUAGGUGAACCUGCGGAAGGAUCAUUACCACACCUCUUUUUACUUUAACUGAUAAUAUUUCAUUUCUUCGGGAGUUUAAUAAUAUUGGUUAUCGGAAAAAAACAAGAGAAAGAUGAGGGUUUCAUUACCCAAGUCCGACUUUUGCGUCCCACGGAACUAACUUAAAAUUUGUGGUGUCUUCGGAUGCCCAUUUUUAAACCCAACACAUGAAUUACAUUUCAAAUGUAUCUGAUUAUGAAUUUCAAUAAUUAGGAGUUAGUGAGUUUAUUCUCCCUAAUGACUAUAACAAUUAAUGAAAAAACACUUUCAGCAACGGAUGUCUUGGCUCCCAU